ACCAUUCCCACAAACGUCUACGACCGCGCCUACAUAGUUUUGCAUGUUUACAAUUCUAAUUUUAAACAGCCAAUUACCAAGAACCUGAUUGGCUGUUCAAAAUUAGAAUUGUAAAUUAACAUGCAAAACUGUGUAGGCGCGGUCGUAGACGUUUGUGGGAGUGGU